GGGUUGUGAGGUUAAGCGACUAAGUGUACACGGUGGAUGCCCUGGCAGUCAGAGGCGAUGAAGGACGUGCUAAUCUGCGAUAAGCGUCGGUAAGGUGAUAUGAACCGUUAUAACCGGCGAUUUCCGAAUGGGGAAACCCAGUGUGUUUCGACACACUAUCAUUAACUGAAUCCAUAGGUUAAUGAGGCGAACCGGGGGAACUGAAACAUCUAAGUACCCCGAGGAAAAGAAAUCAACCGAGAUUCCCCCAGUAGCGGCGAGCGAACGGGGAGGAGCCCAGAGCCUGAAUCAGUGUGUGUGUUAGUGGAAGCGUCUGGAAAGGCGCGCGAUACAGGGUGACAGCCCCGUACACAAAAAUACACAUAUUGUGAGCUCGAUGAGUAGGGCGGGACACGUGGUAUCCUGUCUGAAUAUGGGGGGACCAUCCUCCAAGGCUAAAUACUCCUGACUGACCGAUAGUGAACCAGUACCGUGAGGGAAAGGCGAAAAGAACCCCGGCGAGGGGAGUGAAAAAGAACCUGAAACCGUGUACGUACAAGCAGUGGGAGCACGCUUAGGCGUGUGACUGCGUACCUUUUGUAUAAUGGGUCAGCGACUUAUAUUCUGUAGCAAGGUUAACCGAAUAGGGGAGCCGAAGGGAAACCGAGUCUUAACUGGGCGUUAAGUUGCAGGGUAUAGACCCGAAACCCGGUGAUCUAGCCAUGGGCAGGUUGAAGGUUGGGUAACACUAACUGGAGGACCGAACCGACUAAUGUUGAAAAAUUAGCGGAUGACUUGUGGCUGGGGGUGAAAGGCCAAUCAAACCGGGAGAUAGCUGGUUCUCCCCGAAAGCUAUUUAGGUAGCGCCUCGUGAAUUCAUCUCCGGGGGUAGAGCACUGUUUCGGCAAGGGGGUCAUCCCGACUUACCAACC
rnacentral:rRNA from 1 species